AUGCCCGCCCGCCUGCCGCCGCCGCUCCGCCCGUCCUCCGCGCCGCCGGCUCCCGCCGUCACGCGCACGCUACACGCGAUCAACACCUGCACCUCCUCCACCGCGCUCGCGCCCCUCCGCGGCGCCAUCCUCCGCGAACCCGCCCUCCUGCGCUCCACCACCGUCGUCUCCGCCUUCUUCCUCGCCUGCGGCCGCCUCCGCCACCUCGCCCCCGCGCUCUCCCUCUUCGCCUCCCUCUCCCGCCCCCACGUCUUCCUGUUCAACUCCAUCCUCCGCUCCCUCCGCCCUGCGCCCGGCUGCUCCCCGCUCCCGCUCUUCCGCCGCUUCCUCUGCCUCGGCGGCCGCCCCAACCGCUACACCUUCCCGCUUCUCCUCACCUCCCUUUCCUCCCUCCGCGACCUGAGGGCCGUGCAUUCUCAGGUGGCCAAGUCCGGCUUCUCGCGCGACCUCCACGUCCGCAACGCCCUCCUCGCGCGUUACGCCGCAUGCGACCCAUGCCUGGCCCACGCCGAGCAGCUGUUCGACGAAAUGGCCCACCCGGACGUUGUCGCGUGGACCACCAUGAUCACCUCAUACAAGAACCGCGGCCGCAGCUUCAACGCCCUGGCCACAUUCCGGCGGAUGCUGUCUGCUUCUGUUGCCCCCAACCGCGUCACCAUGGUCGCCGCGCUUGGUGCAUGUGCGGCCCAUGGUGCCAUCGAAACUGGAACUUGGAUCCAUGAGUACGUGCAGAAGCAGGAAUGGGAGCUGGACGUUAUAUUAGGCACUGCACUUGUUGAUAUGUAUGGGAAGUGUGGACAUGUCGUCGACGGGGUUCGUGUAUUCUCGGAAAUGGCCGAGAGGAAUGUCUAUACCUGGAACUCUAUCAUUGGAGCGCUUGCUCUUGCACAGGAUGGCACAAUGGCACUUCAGUGGUUCUAUAGGAUGGAGGCUGAUGGUGUCCGGCCAGAUGCAGUGACGCUCAUUUCUGUUCUUUGUGCAUGUGCCCAUGCCGGGUUUGUUGACAUUGGGAGGAAAAUAUUUAACCUGAUCAUACAAGGAAAGUACGGGUUUCAACCUGGAAUCAAGCACUUCGGGUGCUUGGUUGAUCUUCUUAGUCGCUCUGGACACCUGGAUGAUGCUGUUAGUGUUGUUGAGACAAUGUCACAGCCAAAUGCAGUCAUCUGGGGCUUACUGUUGCGGGGUUGCAAGGCUCAUGGUGACUCACGAUUGAGUGAGCAUGUGAUGACAAGGUUGGUGGAGUUAGAGCCUGAUAAUGCUUCACAUUAUGUGCUGUUAGCAAAUUUAUAUGCUGAGACAGGGAGGUGGCAGGAGGCUGAGGAGAUCUUGCAGUGGAUGAAGAAGAAAGGAUUGAGGAAGGAUGCAGGCUGGAGCCUAAGGAUGUUAGGAGACAGGCUGUUGGCACCGAAAUCUGGCAGCACGAAGCCAGUGUUUCCGAUCCAAGGAUCUUUUGUGCGG
rnacentral:rRNA from 1 species